GAGCGGUUAUCUAGAAUAAGGAAGCAACUCCUAAGACCUGAAUUGUCUCCAUCAUCAUACGACACCGCAUGGGUGGCUAUGGUGCCCUUGUCAGGCUCCCCUCAUAUUCUAUGCUUCCCUCAGUGUGUUGAAUGGAUACUACAAAACCAACGAAGAAAUAGAUCUUGGGGUCAGAGUCAAGUAGAGUCCUCAGUUGACAAGGACAUCCUUUCAUCCACAUUGGCUUGUGUACUUGCACUUAAGAGAUGGAACAUUGGUACAAAACAUAUCCAAAGAGGUCUGCGCUUUAUUGGAAAGUAUUUCUCUGUUGUCAUGGAUGAGCAAAUUGUUGCUCCCAUAGGCUUCAAUGUCAUUUUUCCUGGUAUGCUUAGCCUUGCCAUUGGGAUGGGUUUGGAAUUUCCUGUUCGACAAACGCAUGUUCAUGGGAUUCUUCACCUCCGGGAGAUGGAACUGAAAAGACUUGCUAGGGAUAAAUCUUAUGGAAAAGAAGCAUAUAUGGCCUAUAUUUGUGAAGGGUUAGGAAACAUCUUGGACCGCGAUAAAGUUAUGAAGUUCCAGAGGAAGAAUGGGUCGUUGUUCAACUCUCCUUCAGCAACUUCUGCUGCUUUAAUCCACAAUUAUGAUGACAAAGCCCUCGAGUACCUAAAUUCUCUUGUUAGUAAAUUUGGUAGUUCAGUGCCAACUGUAUAUCCAAUAAAUAUAUAUUGUCAGCUUUCAAUGGUGGAUUCUCUUGAGAAGAUUGGGAUAUCUCAACAUUUUCUUAAUGAGAUAAAGGGCAUCCUCGACGUGACAUAUAGUUUGUGGUUACAUAGAGAUGAGGAAAUCAUGCUGGAUGUAGAAACAUGUGCAAUGGCAUUUCGUCUUUUACGUAUGAACGGAUAUGGUGUUUCCUCUGAUGAGUUGUCUCAUGUUUAUGAAGCCUCCACAUUCCAUAAUUCACUUCAAGGAUAUUUAAGUGAUACAGAAUCAAUAAUGGAAUUAUACAAGGCCUCAAAAGUGAGUGUAUCAGAAAAUGAUUUGGUACUAGAUAACACAAGCCACUGGUCAGGCAGCUUAUUGACAGAAAAGAUGCUCUCUGAUGGGGUGCAAACAAGGCCAAUCUUCGGAGAGGUGGAAUAUGCUCUCAAAUUUCCCUUUUAUGCCACAAUGGAACAUUUAGACCACAAGAGGAACAUUGAGCACUUUGAUACCAGAGGUUCUCGGAUGUUAAAGACAGAAUACAUGAAAUGCCGGGUCAACCAAGAUUUUCUUGCUUUGGCAGUUGAAGAUUUCACCUUAUCUCAAUCUAUUUACCAGGAUGAACUCCUUCAUCUUAGAAGGUGGGCGAAGGAUAACAAGCUGGACAAGCUACAGUUUGUACGACAGAAGCUGACGUAUUGUUACCUCGCAGCAGCUGCUACCUUAUUCCCUCCUGAACUGUCUGAUGCUCGCAUUUCAUGGGCCAAAAAUUCUGUACUCGCAACUGCUGCUGAUGACUUCUUUGAUAUUGUGGGGUCAAAGGAAGAGUUGGAAAAUCUUGUAGCACUAGUUGAGAAGUGGGAUGAGCACUCCAAAGAUGAGUUCUACUCUGAGCAAGUGAAAAUAUUAUUUUGUGCUAUCUAUACUACAGUGAACCAACUUGGAGCAUUGGCUUCUGCAGUCCAAAACCGUGACGUUAAAAAGCACAUGAUAGAAUUAUGGGUACAACUACUAAGGUCUAUGAUGACCGAGGCAGAAUGGCGGAUGAGACGAUAUGUGCCAACUAUUGAAGAAUACGUGGAAAAUGCAGUUGUGUCAUUCGCACUGGGGCCCAUUGUGCUCAUAACAAUGUAUUUCGUCGGGCAAAAGCUCUUUGGAUGUGUUGUCAAAGAUGAAGAGUACAACACAUUAUUCAGGCUAAUGAGCAAAUGUGGUCGUCUCCUCAACGACAUCCAAGGCUUUGAGAGGGAGAGCAGUGAGGGAAAACUAGAUAGUGUUUCACUGCUUGUUCUACAUGGUGAUGGUUCUAUAUCCAUAGAAGCGGCUAAAGAGUCGAUAAUAAGAUCCAUAGCCUCAUGUAGAAAAGACUUACUAAGGUUAGUCCUUAAGGAAGAGGUAGUUCCUAGACCAUGCAGGGAGCUGUUCUGGAAGAUGUGCAAGACAUGCCACGUGUUCUUCUCUCACACCGAUGCAUUUACCUCCCCAAGCGAGAUGGUCGGCGCAGUGAAUGCAGUAAUCAGCGAGCCCCUCAAGCUCCAGAUUAGCAAUACAUCUUUGCCUAUGCAUUCAGAAAGAUAA
rnacentral:rRNA from 1 species